rnacentral:rRNA from 1 species
AUCUACAGCCAUGCCACCCUGAAUGUGCCCAAUCUCGUCUGAUCUCGGACGCUAGGCAGGGUCGGGCCUGGUUAGUAUUUGGAUGGGAGACCACCUAGGAAGACCAGGUGCUGAAGGCA